GUNNGAUCAUGGCUCAGAUUGAACGCUGGCGGCAGGCCUAACACAUGCAAGUCGAGCGCGAAAGUUCUUCGGAACGAGUAGAGCGGCGGACGGGUGAGUAACGCGUGGGAAAUUGCCCAGUAGUGGGGNACAACAUUCGGAAACGGAUGCUAAUACCGCAUACGCCCUACGGGGGAAAGCAGGGGAUCUUCGGACCUUGCGCUACUGGAUAUGCCCGCGUCGGAUUAGCUAGUUGGUGAGGUAAUGGCUCACCAAGGCGACGAUCCGUAUCUGGUCUGAGAGGAUGAUCAGCCACACUGGGACUGAGACACGGCCCAGACUCCUACGGGAGGCAGCAGUGGGGAAUAUUGGACAAUGGGCGCAAGCCUGAUCCAGCCAUGCCGCGUGUGUGAAGAAGGCCCUAGGGUUGUAAAGCACUUUCAGCAGGGAGGAAGGCCUUAAAGUUAAUACCUUUGAGGAUUGACGUUACCUGCAGAAGAAGCACCGGCUAACUCCGUGCCAGCAGCCGCGGUAAUAC
rnacentral:rRNA from 1 species